rnacentral:rRNA from 1 species
UACAGAGGGGGCAAGCGUUGUUCGGAAUUACUGGGCGUAAAGGGCGCGUAGGCGGCCUGUUAAGUCGAACGUGAAAUCCCCGGGCUCAACCCGGGAACUGCGUCCGAUACUGGCAGGCUUGAAUCCGGGAGAGGGAUGCGGAAUUCCAGGUGUAGCGGUGAGAUGCGUAGAUAUCUGGAGGAACACCGGUGGCGAAGGCGGCAUCCUGGACCGGUAUUGACGCUGAGGCGCGAAAGCCAGGGGAGCAAACGGG